GACGAACGCUGGCGGCGUGCCUAAUACAUACAAGUUGAGCGAUGAAGAUUGGUGCUUGCACCAAUUUGAAGAGCAGCGAACGGGUGAGUAACGCGUGGGGAAUCUGCCUUUGAGCGGGGGACAACAUUUGGAAACGAAUGCUAAUACCGCAUAACAACUUUAAACAUAAGUUUUAAGUUUGAAAGAUGCAAUUGCAUCACUCAAAGAUGAUCCCGCGUUGUAUUAGCUAGUUGGUGAGGUAAAGGCUCACCAAGGCGAUGAUACAUAGCCGACCUGAGAGGGUGAUCGGCCACAUUGGGACUGAGACACGGCCCAAACUCCUACGGGAGGCAGCAGUAGGGAAUCUUCGGCAAUGGACGAAAGUCUGGCCGAGCAACGCCGCGUGAGUGAAGAAGGUUUUCGGAUCGUAAAACUCUGUUGGUAGAGAAGAACGUUGGUGAGAGUGGAAAGCUCAUCAAGUGACGGUAACUACCCAGAAAGGGACGGCUAACUACGUG
rnacentral:rRNA from 1 species